UAAUUUUUGUGCAUAUUCCUAAGGUUAUAAUUAUAUCAAUGCAUCGAAAACGCACGACAUUAUGGGCGUUUAAAUUCUAACUGGUUUAAUGAUGACGAGUUACUAAUUUUGUAUCUAUAAAUUACAGCUUUUUAAUUAACUUUAAAGGAGUGUAAGACAUUACGAUGAAGUUGUCAGGUGCAUUUGUCAUUAUGUUGCUUUUGGUAUGUAUGGAACUGUUCACUACACCCGUGGAAGGAGGAAGAAGAAAAAAACGAAAAUGAAAACGAAGAGAGGAAAACAAAAAUUCAAAUCUAAGUCGAAACGCAGCAUCCAACAACAGAACAGCGAUCUUCUUCUAAAAAUACUCCAUGCUCCAAGUGUCAACUUCCAGCUUCGUUGACCUGAUCAGAUGAAGGAAUUAUAUGAUUUAUGGAAAAUCGAGAAUGAAGAUAAACAAUAAAUAUUUAAGCACCUU